UACGGAGGGUGCGAGCGUUGUCCGGAAUUAUUGGGCGUAAAGGGCUCGUAGGCGGUCUGUUGCGUCGGGAGUGAAAACUCAGGGCUUAACCCUGAGCCUGCUUCCGAUACGGGCAGACUAGAGGUAUGCAGGGGAGAACGGAAUUCCUGGUGUAGCGGUGAAAUGCGCAGAUAUCAGGAGGAACACCGGUGGCGAAGGCGGUUCUCUGGGCAUUACCUGACGCUGAGGAGCGAAAGUGUGGGGAGCGAACAGG
rnacentral:rRNA from 1 species